rnacentral:rRNA from 1 species
UACGUAGGGUCCAAGCGUUAAUCGGAAUUACUGGGCGUAAAGCGUGCGCAGGCGGUUUGUUAAGUCUGAUGUGAAAGCCCCGGGCUCAACCUGGGAACUGCAUUGGAAACUGGCAAGCUCGAGUAUGGCAGAGGGGGGUGGAAUUCCGCGUGUAGCAGUGAAAUGCGUAGAGAUGCGGAGGAACACCGAUGGCGAAGGCAGCCCCCUGGGCCAAUACUGACGCUCAGGCACGAAAGCGUGGGGAGCAAACAGG